rnacentral:rRNA from 1 species
UACGUAGGGCGCAAGCGUUGUCCGGAAUUAUUGGGCGUAAAGAGCGUGUAGGCGGCCAGGUAGGUCUGCUGUGAAAACUCGAGGCUCAACCUCGAGACGUCGGCGGAAACCAUCUGGCUAGAGUCCGGAAGAGGAGAGUGGAAUUCCUGGUGUAGCGGUGAAAUGCGUAGAGAUCGGGAGGAACACCUGUGGCGAAGGCGGCCGACUGGGCCGACCCUGACGCUGAGGCGCGAAGGCGUGGGGAGCGAACGGG